GUAAAAAAUCGUGUAAAAAAAAUAACGUGUAAUUUCCAAAUUACCACUAAAAAAAUUGUAAAUUUUAAUUUUUACCACUAUAAAAAUGGUAAAUUUUGUGUAAAAAAUAAUUUGUGUAAAAAUUUUCAGCGUGUAAUUCAAAAAUGUAAUUUUACCACUAUUCAAGUGGAACUGUGUCACUAAAAAAGUGGUAAAAAUUCCACUGCGUGUAAAAUUUGAUGCGUGUAAUUCAAAACGUGUAAAUUCACCAUUACAGUUUGACAGCUGCAGGAAGCAUCCAUAUCGAGCAAAGUGGAUCAUGGGGAUGGACCACAAGACGAGAAGAGGGUCUGAAGGUUGACUAAACAGCAGAAGACGAAAUGCAACAAUGAUUAAGGAGGUGAAGGAGGAAUAGUUGGUGGAGCAGUGAAGACAGCCAACAGCUCCCUAAGAUUUGCCCCCAAAGUCACAUCUUCUUCGGGACAUCAGCUGUUUUAAAUGAAGGAAUCUGAAGGGAAUGGAAAAUGGAGGAGCAAGGAAUAGAGCGGUAGUAUCAAAAUUGUUAUUUUGUAAAUGAAAUUAAUAUUUUGUAUAAAAAAAAAUUACAAGGCAAUAAAUUUACACGUUUGAAAUUACAAGUUUUUAUAUUUUACACGCAGCACUUUACACAAAAUUCAAGGUUACAUUCUACAUAUUACACGGAAAAAAUUACACGCAAAAGAUUACUCGCGGAAAAUUACACGCUAAAGAAAUUACACGUUUCCCAAAAUUACCACUAAAAUAGUGAUGUAAAAAAUUACCCACUAUUUUAGUUGUAAUAUUUUUUUACUG